rnacentral:rRNA from 1 species
GCCGCGGUAAUACCGGCGGCUCGAGUGGUGGCCACUUUUAUUGGGCUUAAAGCGUUCGUAGCUGGGUUAUUAAGUCCCUUGGGAAAUCCGACAGCUUAACUGUCGGGCGUCUAAGAGAUACUGGUAAUCUUGGAACCGGGAGAGGUGAGGGGUACUUCGGGGGUAGGAGUGAAAUCCUGUAAUCCUCGAGGGACCACCUGUGGCGAAGGCGCCUCACCAGAACGGCUUCGACAGUGAGGGACGAAAGCUGGGGGAGCAAACCGGAUUAGAUACCCGGGUAGUCCCAGCCGUAAACGAUGUGCGUUAGGUGUAUCGGUGACCACGAGUCACCGAGGUGCCGAAGGGAAACCGUGAAACGUACCGCCUGGGAAGUACGGUCGCAAGGCUGAAACUUAAAGGAAUUGGCGGGGGAGCACCACAACAGGUGGAGCCUGCCGGUUUAAUUGGACUCAACGCCGGAAAUCUCACCGGAUAAGACAGCAGAAUGAUUGCCGGGCUGAAGACUCUGCAUGACUAGCUGAGAGAAGAGGUGCAUGG